rnacentral:rRNA from 1 species
GUGACUGCGUACCUUUUGUAUAAUGGGUCAGCGACUUAUAUUCUGUAGCAAGGUUAACCGAAUAGGGGAGCCGGAGGGAAACCGAGUCUUAAUUGGGCGUUAAGUUGCAGGGUAUAGACCCGAAACCCGGUGAUCUAGCCAUGGGCAGGUUGAAGGUUGGGUAACACUAACUGGAGGACCGAACCGACUAAUGUUGAAAAAUUAGCGGAUGACCUGUGGCUGGGGGUGAAAGGCCAAUCAAACCGGGAGAUAGCUGGUUCUCCCCGAAAGCUAUUUAGGUAGCGCCUCGUGAAUUCAUCUCCGGGGGUAGAGCACUGUUUCGGCUAGGGGGCCAUCCCGGCUUACCAACCCGAUGCAAACUGCGAAUACCGGAGAAUGUUAUCACGGGAGACACACGGCGGGUGCUAACGUCCGUCGUGAAGAGGGAAACAACCCAGACCGCCAGCUAAGGUCCCAAAGUCAUGGUUAAGUGGGAAACGAUGUGGGAAGGCCCAGACAGCCAGGAUGUUGGCUUAGAAGCAGCCAUCAUUUAAAGAAAGCGUAAUAGCUCACUGGUCGAGUCGGCCUGCGCGGAAGAUGUAACGGGGCUAAACCAUGCACCGAAGCUGCGGCAGCGACACU